AAAAGCAUUCCCUGAAGCAAUGGAAGAAAAGAUAAGUAUAAAUAUGAAGGGGAAGAAAAGGGCUGCCCAUUAAAAUAGAAAGAAAGAAAGAAGUCACCUUUUCCCUUACUCUCCUGUUCACCAUCAGGCAACAUUAGACAUGGUGGGAAGAGUUAAAAUUGAAGAUCAAUUCAAGAAAAUUUCCCAAGUAGACGAGUGAUAAAAUAUUUCAUUGAAGAUGCCUUUGGAUUAUGCUGAAAGGAUACUCCUGCUUCCUGAACUACUUGAGUUCCAGUCCUGACUUCCUUGGGUGAUGAUCAGCAACAUGGACAUAUCGGCUUCUCGAGUUUCCUGGGGCACGCAGCCAUCCUGAGAUUGGAGUGAGAGUCUCCCCAUUUUGGGGUUCUUUCAUAAGGACAACGAGAUAAAUGAGAGGAGUCCUGGUAAGGAUCCCAUAUUGAUGUUGAUUCAUUAUAAUGAACAUUUGCAAAUGAUGAUGCAUGG